ensembl:lncRNA
AUGAUCUCUAUCUCCCUCUCGCCCCCACUCUUGAUAAUAGCACUGUGCUGGAUGGCUCUCCUCCUGACUAAAUGUUUUCCAGAGAUCUGUAGAUCUGAACUUCUCCAAGGAAGAAAUAAGCAAUGCCCGUCCUUUGGGGUUUUAGAGUGUGUUGGACAGAGGUGGAUAAAAACAUGCCCAGACCAACCCAGGAACAAAGCAACCAAAUUAAUGGGUCGAGAGAAGUCAGUGGGCUGCUGGUAUGAAAUUGUAUUAGAAGCAUGUCACCGAGACCUAAAUCUGAAAAAAUCAAUGACAGGUCUGGUGGAGACUGUCCAAGUUUUCUUACAAUGUGUCUGAAUUGACAAGAAAAGACGAGACUCUGACAGACUCUUGAGGCAUUCCCCUCCCUCGUAACUGAGCUGUUUUGUUCCCGUGUUUUGGUUACUUAAGGUUACUGCGGGACCCUACUGUGAGUUAUUGAGAUCCUACCAAGACGUGGACGGCUUGACUAGCAUUACCACACUCAGAAUUAAUGGGAGAACACCAACUGAAAUUAUAUGAAAAUUUAUCUUAUCUAUUCACUACUAAGUACCGCUGACCAUUUUCAUAAAGAUGGAUCAUGAAUGUUCACUAUUUAAGUACAUAUAGCAUUACUAUUGAUCAGAUAUUUGGUAGGAAAUGAGAGAGUAGAAUAAACUGCUUAAAAAUGGACUUUUUUUAAAUGAUAGAAUUAGAAAAAUAAACAACAGCAAAACUCCUCUUGGGGGGAAAUAGUAAGAAGAGAUAUAAAGAACGUGUCUUCUUUUUUCUCAAUAUCAGAAAUCAUAAGACAGCACAUUGCAAGGACUUGGAUCUUCCCCAUCCCAAGUAGCCCAAGAAAGAUGCCAGGUUGUUUAAGACGCUCUCUAAGGAUGGCUUGAGAGGCAGAUAAAGAGGCACCACUGAAUAACGAAACACUCCUAGCAGGCAUAUCUUGCAAGCCUUUUUGCCAAACACGAUGCCAUGUAGACUGCUGGAACUCUUUACAGCAGCUCCGUGGGAAAUGUAAUGGCAGGGAAAAGGUGGGUGAACCGCAAGAAAAAUCUGCAGUUGUUUCACUGUAUCAAGAACAUUUAUGUUAAAAGUGCUGUGUUAAGAACAAACCAAAACAAAAGCCUAACACACAACUAGUUUUCUGAGGUGUGGUCUUCUUAGGGGAGUUCCACUGCGAUACACUUCUAUGCUUUGCUUCAACCAGACCACGUCCAGACAAUGACCUGUUCUACACUUAACCAGUAAAACUGACCAGAAAGCAUACCCAGCAUGGGCUUCGACCAGCCACAGGCAUUAUGAGUACAUAUGGUGCUUUUAGAUUUACAGAAGCAGUUUCUCAGGAAUCCUAUAGAGGUUGGAGAAAUAGAGCUAGUUGUCCUUUUUUUAGCAAGAGCACUUGUAAAAUACAGAAAGGGAUUAGGUAAACACCUGUUUACACUGAGUUGAUCCAUUAAAGGACUUUAGAAAAAUCAGCAGUUCAUUUACCUGAGUUUCCCAUUUAAAGGCUAAAUGUAAUUGAAUGAUUUUUGCUUAUAAAUGUGAACAAAAACAAUAUUAAAAUGGGCCAGAGUCAGAAAAUUGACACUCAAGAUGAAGUCUGAGACUAUUGAAUUUUUAUAAAAUCUAAUAGAAACAUCUAUGAACUUUCCUUCUCAGUUAAAGCAUAAAGUCAUAGAACAAUACUGAUUUACUGGAUGUUAUUUAGAACUUAGGUUAGGGGUCAGCCGGUGAAAUCAUUAAGCAAACAAAUUAGGUCUUCUGGAAUUGAGAGCAAAUUAUGACAUGUUAAAAGUACUUACUAGUCACUUAUGUCAGUUAUGAACCCCACGUGAGAUUAUGAUUUAACACCAGAUAAAGACUUCAGCAUAAAUACGAUUUUUAACCUGAAUAGAUCCCUUUUGAAGGGUGGUAUAGAAAAUAACUAUAAAUUUUAUCCAGAAAAAUAGUGCACCCAGUGUUUUACCAGUAGUUAUCUAAGCUUACCUUUCAACAGGGUAUUUUUGUCAUGCUCAGCCAUGGAGAAUCUUCCAAGUCUUUUGUUUGCUUAAAAUAAGAGGGCUGUAUUUCUAAAUACAACACAUUGUUCAUAAGCAGGAUCCUAACCACAUUCUGGAAUUGAAUAUUUGCUCCUACAAGAAAUAUAGCCAUGUUACUAUUUUAACAUAUCAUUUCCAUUCUAGGUGGGAAAUAAGUUAUACAAAAUCACCAUUCAAACACUUGGACAAGAACAGAAACAAUAAAGCAUCCCGGACUGCAUGAUUUCAUUAUUAAACAAAUGAAAAGCAUCUCUUUCCUAAAUCCUUCACUCCAUGACACCUCCUAGCAUCUCCAACAUGAGUGAGGUACGUGUGUCUGCUGAGUAGUUGUGUUGAGUUCCAAAGCAGCACUGUACAAAAUCACCAGGAUCAAGGCGCAAAAUUUAAAAGCAGCUAUUUUGAAACCCCAAAAGCAUCUUCCUAUUUUCUUUCAUUGUUAAGUCACAAAACUCUCUUAGGUCAGACUAGAGUUCUGACAACAGUCAGCGUGAAUUUACUACAUAAAACACAAUUCCCAUGAUCAGCAAUACUGGCCCUGGAUCGAGGGCACAAAUCGUGUUUUCAUUUUCCUGAAGAAUCAGUUACAGAUUUUGCCCAAGAUGCGUAUACUAUGUUGGUUUAAAUACAAAGAUAAAUAAAAGCUCUGCUGACCAUCAAGCAAAAAUUAUUUCUAAGUGACAGCCACUUAGCAAUUUAUUCACCCCUUAAAAAAAAAAAGUAACAGAACCAUUUUAAGUGAGAUGCUUAUUUUAAGCCAAAAAACAGAAACAGUUCCUUGUGCUCGCGUCGCUCGCACCCGCAGCAGGGGCAGGAGUCCGGGAGCUCCACUUACGGACACGUGGGUUAUUCUGUGUAACAGUCAGGAUGUGAGGAGCUGGCUGCCCUACGCUGCCCGAAGCAACCCGGGCACCUGACUAGAGUGCCAGCUCUCUCAGAGACGGCUUCAGCAGGGCAUUUUUUUUUUCUGUCUGAUGUACCCACAUAUCAAGAUAUCAAAGGUUAUUACAUUACUUAAAAACCAGGCUUCUGAUUCUGAUUUUUAAAUUUAAUUACCUGUUUUAAUUAAAAUAUAUCUAGCUUCUCUGAGGUUGCUCACCAGUACUGCAUAGCAAUAUUAAGAUGAAGGGUGGGGGGAGGAGAGCCUCUGUAUUUUGUUUUUAAACGAUAUUUUUGAAAUGUUGGUGAGAACGCAAAUCAGUCAGAUGAUACAUGACCAAUUCAGACCGGCCAACCAUGGGAGAUUAUUGAUUUCACUCACUUACAAAAUCCUAGCCUAACAAUCACAUUGACUGUCAGGUAAAUGAAAUAACACAAUUCAGGGUUCUGUUGGAGACGAGGAGAAAUUUUGAAAGCAGUGGUCUGUGGCAAUGCACUUAUGUGAAUUUACACUCCAGAGAAGAGUCUUCCGUAGGACGAAGGACUUUGCCAACGCAGAAGGCAGCUGGUAUUACAAGGACUAGCGCAGACUCCUUGGUACAGACAGAGUAAAAACAAAAGUAAGGACCCUGGACAGGUGUAAACAAGCAAAAAAUGACCUUUGCAAAAUAUCUAUUUAAAAAAUACCAAAAAGCAUGCAACUUAAAAUUCCCUCCCUUUCACAAGAAUGAAAUGAAAAAACAAAACAAAAAAAAAACCAGACGGAACCACCUGUUUCUGUCAGUAGAAAACAAUAAUAGGUACAUUAGGUUCCAGGACAAAUAAAACUUUAAAAUAUUAAUAGUGAAAAAAUACAAUUAAAUUUUUAUUAAAAAAUACAUACUCCUUACUCAAUCUUUGUGUACAUUUUGUUUUGUGUGAAAAAGAAAAAAAAUAAAAAUAAAAUAGGAAAGGCAUUAAGACUACCUAAUUAUUUAUACUGUAUUUGGUAGAAGCACGUCUCAGUC